ensembl:lncRNA
CUCAAGCCUCUCUGAGAACAAACAGCUCCAUGUUUGGCCGGCUCUCGCUCCCCACCCAGCCGGCCGAGCAGACUGAGGGAUCUUCCUGGCCUGCGGAUCGAACCCGCAUCUCCUGCGACAUCUGCAUUACAGGCAGAUUCUUUACCACUGAGCCACCGGGAAAACCCUGAAUGCAUCCUCCAGGCCUGGACAGAACCUUCCUGGCUGUGGGGUCCCGUGCAAAAGACCCAGGCCCCAGCCCCUCUGCAUGUGGCCAGGCCUCUUGCCGGGCUGGCGCAGCCGUCUCUGCCUAGCCACACGUCAGCCUGGC